GGGUGAAUAGGAAUGUAGCAUCGGUAUGCAAGAGGAAAGUGUUUUCUUCUCUGUUCGGCUUUCCGGCACUCAAGAGGAAUGGAGGACGGUCAG
rnacentral:lncRNA from 1 species